AGGGGAAGCAGGGAAGAGAGCAGAAAGGCUGGGGCUCCCCCUUCCCAGCUGGGGUCCCUGAGGAGCUGGGUGAUGAAAUCUUAUUUGAACUCUUUCUUUUGCCAAACCCAGGCUGCUUUUGGCCUCCCGCACUGUCCCACAGCCAAGGGAUAGGAAAGUGCUGGGAUGAGGUUUCCAGAAGUCCUCAAGAGCCCAGGACAGCUGGAGGGAGACAGAGUGGUGGCUGGGGGGAGGGAGUAGAGUGUCUUAUUCCUCCAAGUUCAGUCCUUCUAGAUUCAGUCCCAAACAAGCCUUCCUGCUCCCCUACCAGCCUCACUCUUUGGCUCCCAGAUCUCCUGAAUAGGGUUCCACAGGGGCUAGGGGAGGUCUGCCAGGCCCGUGAGCACUUGGUCACCUCCACAGGUGGCUGUCCCAGAUGUGGUCCAGGCUGCAGCGGAUGCUGACAUCCUGAUCUUUGUGGUGCCCCAUCAGUUCAUCGGCAAGAUCUGUGACCAGCUCAAGGGCCAUCUGAAGGCAAACGCCACUGGCAUAUCUCUUAUUAAGGGGGUAGACGAGGGCCCCAAUGGGCUGAAGCUCAUCUCGGAAGUGAUUGGGGAGCACCUCGGCAUUCCCAUGAGUGUGCUGAUGGGGGCCAACAUUGCCAGCGAGGUGGCUGAUGAGAAGUUCUGUGAGACAACCAUUGGCUGCAAGGACCCGGCCCAGGGACAACUUCUGAAAGAGCUGAUGCAGACACCCAACUUCCGCAUCACGGUGGUGCAAGAGGUGGACACAGUAGAGAUCUGUGGAGCCUUAAA
rnacentral:sRNA from 1 species